rnacentral:rRNA from 1 species
AGGACGAACGCUGGCGGCGUGCUUAACACAUGCAAGUCGAGCGGUAAGGCCCUUUCGGGGGUACACGAGCGGCGAACGGGUGAGUAACACGUGAGCAAUCUGCCCUUCACUUCGGGAUAAGCCUCGGAAACGGGGUCUAAUACCGGAUAUGACCGCGCUACGCAUGUGGUGUGGUGGAAAGUUCUGGCGGUGAGGGAUGAGCUCGCGGCCUAUCAGCUUGUUGGUGGGGUAAUGGCCUACCAAGGCUUCGACGGGUAGCCGGCCUGAGAGGGUGACCGGCCACACUGGGACUGAGACACGGCCCAGACUCCUACGGGAGGCAGCAGGUGGGGAAUAGUUGGACAAGUGGGACGAAAGCCUAGAUCCAGCCAACGCCGCGUGAGGGAUGGACGGUCCGUUCGGGUUAGUAAACCUUCUUUCAGUCGCCGACGAAGACGAAAGUGACGGUAGCGACAAGAAGAACGCCAACCGUACCAAACGUACGUCGACCGA